UGCGUAUUGUUAGGUCCCAGAAAUUUUGGAGAUGAAAUUGAAGAUGAGGAGAGUAAGGUUGAUUUCAUUAGCCACACAGCCAUCGAUGGUAAAGUAGGAGGGCAGCCUCAUCUGCCCUGGUGCUUAUUUCUUCUUGGCCUUUUCUCAGGCUCUGAAAGUCAGGAGGACUCCCUUACACUGGAAAAUCCUGGAAAGUGGUUUCCUCUCUCCCAUCCCUCAAAUGCCACCGCAAUCCUGGAGGGAAACACAGAGGUUCCAAAGGAGAUCUACCUCCUUAUCAAGUCUUUCACUCUGCUCCGUCCUGUGUCAACUGGGUUCUCACCGGAUGAUGUAUCCAGGGCCACCAGCGGGCGCCUGGUGGACCGUGCCCCUUGUGACAGAAGGGGAGAAACUGCGUCAGUCGGCAGAUCCCAGCUGGCGCUAGCAGGGGAAAGAAGGGAGAGAGAACUCUUCACCUCCGGCUCUGAUGGGCUGCGCUGGACCACGGCUUCCCGGGAAGAAAGACAAAGGAGGUGAAGGAGGGCUGGAAGGAGAAAGACGUGGGAGGAAGACGCCAUUAAUCAUCGCUGCCGUGUCUCGAGGGUCUGCUUGAAAUCAGGGUCUUCCUACUCCAGCUCAUUUAAUUCCACAGUGACUCUGCAAAGGAUGAUCACACUUAUUUUAAAGAUGGGAUUCGUGAGGCUCAGAGACUCUAAGCAACUUGUACUGGGACACCCAGCUUGAAAGUUGCAGAGUCAGAAUUUAAAACCAUAUCUGUGUGACUCUACACUCAGCCCUUCCCACCCCUCUGUGCUGCCUCCACAGAGGGCAGAGUGAGCAAAGGAGGCUCGUGGGGUGCUCUUGCGCCCCUCCCCUGGCUUUCCCCGCCCACCCGGAGCCUCAGGGAUUGAGGUGGAAUCAACAGGUCUCCAGUGCCCCCGGGAAGGAACUGGGAGCCGGGCGUCAGUGAGGACACUGGGCCCAGCUGCCACUCUCCUCGGGGAGGCACAGCCCCGCCAGACAGGGCAUACACCUCUGCUAGAAGGUGCUGACAUCCAGAUAUGAAGAGGACUUAGUUACUCACUGCCAAUCAGACAUUUUUGGGCAAAAAACAUGGUUAAUAAACCAGAAUUGAUCCAGCCA
rnacentral:lncRNA from 1 species